AACGAACGCUGGCGGCAUGCCUAACACAUGCAAGUCGAACGAGACCUUCGGGUCUAGUGGCGCACGGGUGCGUAACGCGUGGGAAUCUGCCCCUUGGUUCGGAAUAACUUCGGGAAACUGAAGCUAAUACCGGAUAAUGACGUAAGUCCAAAGAUUUAUCGCCAAGGGAUGAGCCCGCGUAGGAUUAGCUAGUUGGUGGGGUAAAGGCUCACCAAGGCGACGAUCCUUAGCUGGUCUGAGGGGAUGAUCAGCCACACUGGGACUGAGACGCGGCCCAGACUCCUACGGGAGGCAGCAGUGGGGAAUAUUGGACAAUGGGCGAAAGCCUGAUCCAGCAAUGCCGCGUGAGUGAUGAAGGCCUUAGGGUUGUAAACUGCUUUUGUACGGAACGAAACGCCUCUGGUUAAUACCUGGGGGGUAAGUGACGGUACCGUAAGAAUAAGCCCGGCUAACUCCGUGCCAGCAGCCGCGGUAAU
rnacentral:rRNA from 1 species